UGUAAGUAGCCCCUGUUAGACACAUUGGCUCAUCAAGCUGCCCUUGAGGGGCGUGGUCUCUUUGUGUUUGUCACUGCCCUAUCUGUCCAGCACCCCAGAGAUGGUCGGGACCUUUCAUUGUACUCCAUGCCUCCCUUUUUCUUGAAUGAUGGGUACUUUGACUCUGCUCGUGGGAAACCGAGUUGAGGAAAUGACCCAGUUGUAGUAGCUGUUUGUUCCUGAAGUUAACAGCUCAAGUUGAUCAUGGGACUCUGUUGACUGGAAUUUGUCAGGAAUUCAAGGUCAUCCCAACAGGACCAUUGGGAAGAAGCCAGAACCCCUGACAUCUGGUGAGCUGUGACCACUGUUGAUUGACUGAGCUGUAAAAACUUAGCUGGAGUACUGAGACCACUGUUGCCCCGAGGAGCCAAGAACAUGGUUGUCUGCAUGAGCUCACCAUACUGUUACUUGGGGAAACUGAUACAACUAUGAUCUGGAGGAGCUGAGGACCGCUGUUAUCUGGUGGAGGUGAGGACUCUGGCAUCUAGAAGGUAAGGAUGCUGGUACCUGGGGCAGGUGAGAACAGUGGUACCUGGGGCAGGUGAGAACAGUGGCACCUGGGGUGGGUGAGAACAGUGGUAUCUGGGGUAGGUGAGAACAGUGGUACCUGGGAGGGGGUGA